GACAGAGGGUGCAAACGUUGUUCGGAAUUACUGGGCGUAAAGAGCGCGCAGGCGGUCGUUCAAGUCGAGUGUGAAAGCCCCCGGCUCAACUGGGGAGGGUCAUUCGAUACUGAUCGACUCGAAGGCAGGAGAGGGAAGUGGAAUUCCCGGUGUAGUGGUGAAAUGCGUAGAUAUCGGGAGGAACACCAGUGGCGAAGGCGACUUCCUGGCCUGUUCUUGACGCUGAGGCGCGAAAGCUAGGGGAGCAAACGGG
rnacentral:rRNA from 1 species